GCUGGCGGCGCGCCUAACACAUGCAAGUCGAACGAGAAAGUGGAGCAAUCCAUGAGUAAGUGGCGUACGGGUGAGUACACGUGGAUAAUCUGCCCUUUAGUGGGGAAUACCGUUGGGAAACGCGACGACAAUACCGCAUAAGCUCGAGAGAGGAAAGCAGCAAUGCGCUGAAGGAGGAGUCCGCGGCCGAUUAGCUAGUUGGUAGGGUAAUGGCCUACCAAGGCUGUGAUCGGUAGCCGGCCUGAGAGGGCACACGGCCACACUGGCACUGAAACACGGGCCAGACUCCUACGGGAGGCAGCAGUGGGGAAUCUUGCACAAUGGGGGAAACCCUGAUGCANCGACGCCGCGUGAGCGAUGAAGCCCUUCGGGGUGUAAAGCUCUUUCGGCAGGGAAGAUUAUGACGGUACCUGCAGAAGCAGCUGCGGCUAACUACGUGCCAGCAGCCGCGGUAAUACGUAGGCAGCAAGCGUUGUUCGGAGUUACUGGGCGUAAAGGGUGCGUAGGCGGCUCGAUAAGUAUGGUGUGAAAUCUCCCGGCUUAACUGGGAGGGUGCGCUAUAGACUGCCGGGCUAGAGGGUGGGAGAGGAAAGUGGAAUUCCUGGUGUAGCGGUGAAAUGCGUAGAUAUCAGGAGGAACACCGGUGGUGUAAACGGCUUUCUGGACCACUUCUGACGCUGAGGCACGAAAGCGUGGGUAGCAAACAGGAUUAGAUACCCUGGUAGUCCACGCCCUAAACGAUGCAUAUUUGGUGUGGGUCAUUCAGUUGAUCCGUGCCGGAGCUAACGCGUUAAAUAUGCCGCCUGGGGAGUACAGUCGCAAGGCUGAAACUCAAAGGAAUUGACGGGGGCCCGCACCAGCGGGGGAAGCAUGUGGUUUAAUUCGACGCAACGCGAAGAACCUUACCUGGGCUCGAAAUGCUACGGACCAGCUUAUGAAAAGUUGCCUUCCCGCAAGGGACCGUAGUAUAGGUGCUGCAUGGCUGUCGUCAGCUCGUGUCGUGAGAUGUUGGGUUAAGUCCCGCAACGAGCGCCACCCUUGUCCUGUGUUGCCAUACCGAAAGGUGGAACUUGCAAGAGAACGCCAGGGAUAACCUGGAGGAGGUGGGGAUGACGUCAGUCCUCAUGGCCUUAUGUCAGGGCUACACAGUGCUACAUGGACGGUAC
rnacentral:rRNA from 1 species